GUGGGCGAGGUGACUACGGCGGCACGUCGGUGCCCCACGCCGAAGGGGAGGGUUCGACCCCCUCCGCCCACUCCA
rnacentral:tRNA from 1 species